rnacentral:rRNA from 1 species
UACGAAGGGGGCUAGCGUUGUUCGGAUUUACUGGGCGUAAAGCGCCCGUAGGCGGCUUUUUAAGUUGGACGUGAAAGCUCCCGGCUUAACUGGGAGAGGCCGUUCAAAACUGAGAGGCUAGAGUGAGGCAGAGGAGCGCGGAAUUCCCGGUGUAGUGGUGGAAUGCGUAGAUAUCGGGAGGAACACCAGUGGCGAAAGCGGCGCUCUGGGCCUAAACUGACGCUGAGGGGCGAAAGCGAUGGGGAGCGAACGGGG